rnacentral:rRNA from 1 species
AUUGAACGCUGGCGGCAUGCCUAACACAUGCAAGUCGAACGGCAGCACGACCUAGCUUGCUAGGUUGGUGGCGAGUGGCGCACGGGUGAGUAAUACGUAGGAAUAUACCUUAAAGAGGGGGAUAACCUGGGGAAACCCAGGCUAAUACCGCAUGAGCUCUACGGAGGAAAGCUGGGGACCCGCGAGGGCCUGGCGCUUUAAGAAUAGCUUACGUCCGAUUAGCUAGUUGGUGGGGUAAAGGCUUACCAAGGCGACGAUCGGCAGCUGGUCUGAGAGGAUGAUCAGCCACACUGGGACUGAGACACGGCCCAAACUCCUACGGGAGGCAGCAGUGGGGAAUAUUGGACAAUGGGGGCAACCCUGAUCCAGCGAUGCCGCGUGUGUGAAGAAGGCCUGCGGGUUGUAAAGCACUUUCGGUGGGGAGGAGGACUAGUAUGUUAAGAGCUAACGAGUUGGACGUUACCCACAUAAGAAGCACCGGCUAACUCCGUGCCAGCAGCCGCCGUAA